CUCUACCAGCAGGGGUAGCUGGUUCACCCCCAAGAGAAUCCAGACUCCUCCUUGCCCAGUGAAGGUUCUUGUAAGUGGAUUCAUACCACGUAGCUCCUCUGGAAGCAAGGGAGAGAGGUUCUUUGAAGAGAGUGAAAGACAAGCUGCGGACUGGGAGACAAUGUGGGCCAGUGAGGCAGCUCAGUGGAUGAGAGUGCUUGCCUAACUGCCCAGCUGGAUUGCCAGCCCGACAAGGUCAACUCCAGGUCAACUAGAUCCUGGUCUUCUGUUUCGCUCUGCGAAGGCUGCAGCAAUGGAGCUGUGCUGUCUGUAAGUAACUACCACCACAUGCCAGGAGCUCAGACAAUAGACACUGCUCACAUUUCUGAAGGCUUCGAUCAAGGCCUUGGUAGAUUUGAUGUGUAUUUUGUGUUUGUUUGUUUAAGACAGGGUCUCACCAAGUAGCCCCGGCUGCCUGAAACUCACUUUGCAGACCAGACUGGCCUUGAACUCAUGGAGUUCUGCUUGCCUCUAUCUCCCAAGCACUGGGACUGAAGGUGUGUGUCACCAGGCCCUGCUAAAUGUGGCAUCUUUGUGAGGGAUCAUAGACAGUGCUUUUCCCUGUUCCUUCACAGGGUGGAAGGGGCCAGGAAUCUGACAUGGAAUGAUUUAGGAUGGCUUUACUCCCUAACCACCCUCACCUCACUAACACCUCUGCCUUAGGGGUUAGGAUUUGAACACAGAAGGUUUGGGAGGAUACAACCUAACAACCUUUAGAAGUACUCUGAUUCCGGUCACUCAAGUGUUUGUGUGUGAUAAUGGGUACAUUAGUUCCUGUUGAAAUAAAUGAUUUGGGGCUAGAGGAACA
rnacentral:lncRNA from 1 species